rnacentral:rRNA from 1 species
UAAGGAAUAUUGGUCAAUGGACGCAAGUCUGAACCAGCCAUGCCGCGUGAAGGAUGAAGGUCCUCUGGAUUGUAAACUUCUUUUAUCUGGGACGAAAACGGGAUUUUUAUCUCAAUUGACGGUACCAGAGGAAUAAGCACCGGCUAACUCCGUGCCAGCAGCCGCGGUAAUACGGAGGGUGCGAGCGUUAUCCGGAUUUACUGGGUUUAAAGGGUGCGUAGGUGGGCUUAUAAGUCAGUGGUGAAAUCUCCGAGCUUAACUUGGAAACUGCCGUUGAUACUAUAGGUCUUGAAUUAUCUGGAGGUAAGCGGAAUAUGUCAUGUAGCGGUGAAAUGCCUAGAUAUGACAUAGAACACCAAUUGCGAAGGCAGCUUACUACAUAUAAAUUGACGCUGAGGCACGAAAGCGUGGGGAUCAAA